AUUGAACGCUGGCGGCAUGCCUUACACAUGCAAGUCGAGCGGCAGCGCGGGGGCAACCCUGGCGGCGAGCGGCGAACGGGUGAGUAAUACAUCGGAACGUGUCCAGUAGCGGGGGAUAACCUGUCGAAAGAUAGGCUAAUACCGCAUACGACCUACGGGUGAAAGCGGGGGACCGCAAGGCCUCGCACUAUUGGAGCGGCCGAUGUCGGAUUAGCUAGUUGGCGGGGUAACGGCCCACCAAGGCGACGAUCCGUAGCUGGUCUGAGAGGACGACCAGCCACACUGGAACUGAGACACGGUCCAGACUCCUACGGGAGGCAGCAGUGGGGAAUUUUGGACAAUGGGCGCAAGCCUGAUCCAGCCAUGCCGCGUGAGUGAAGAAGGCCU
rnacentral:rRNA from 1 species